UACUAAAUAAACAAAUUUAAAAAUUAGUACCUUGCAAGUCGUAAAAUAAGAAAUGAACAAAACUAAUUUCAAUAUGUCAAGAUUGAAUCUUCCAUGAACUACCGCACAAAUUACAAUGUACUCCAUGUGCAUAUGGCCUGUACAUUUCGAUUUCCAUUUAGUUUAUAAGAUUUUAUCAUAGUGUACCUUACCAAAAAAGUCAUAAAUAUAAAAUAACUACAAAAAAAACAUCAUUAAUACAAGAAAUUCCAGCUUUUCAUCCUCCUCACGUGCUCACAAGCAUUGUCACCACUGGUUAUCGAACGACCAUAAAUACAAAAGAAAGCAGCUUCCAUUGAACAAUGCUAAACUUUCACUACAAAACAAAAUCGAUAUAAGCAACACAGAGUUUUAAAUAAUAAUUCAGUAUUCUGAAAGUAAUAUCAAAAUAAAUUUAUGCAUUCUCUGCCCCUAUUGGUAGAAGAUUCUUUAAAAUUCAUUUUCAACAACAUAUUUUUCCAAUAAAAUAAUUUUGCAUGUGUACACAUAACUUUUCCUUACUUUUUAACCACACUUUAAAAAAAAAAAAAUCACUUUUGACAAAAUCUAUUCUCAAAAAAUCUAAAUCAAGCACAUUUUUCCAAAAACUCACUUUUCACAAAAUCUAUUCUCAAAAAAUCUAAAUCAAGACUCUUCAUUAGCUGAGUAAUUUCUUUCUUCUUUUAAGCAGUUGCACUAAGCAAGACAAUAUAUUCAGUCAGAAUGGACAACAUUAAUAUGAUGACAAAUAACAGAACAUGAACUACGUAAAGCAAAAAAUAAUAAUAAUAAUAAUAAAGGAAAAGGGGUGAAAAACAAAGUAUAACUUCAAAUGAAAGUCGAGAGUGAAUGGUUAGAUGUUGCAACCAUAUUGAGACCUUGUUUGAGAACCAUUUUUGGGUCAAAAUGCAUUUUGAAAUAGUGUUUUGUUGAAGAAUAUAUGGUUAAAAAAUAAGAAAAAGCUUUGAAUUUACGUAUAAAUUUAUUUUAUUGGAAAAUGGGUGAUUGAAAAUGAUUUUCUGAAAAAAUGGGGGCCAAACAUAAAUGAAUAAAGCUCACUCUUAAGAGCACUCUGUAAUGAAAGGGUGCCGAAACAGUUACAAAUACAGAGGCAAGGCUUAACUUAGAACAAGUAGAGUCGUUACCGACAUCCACAGUGGCUAAUAUCUACAGUUGAGUAACUUCAUUGAACAAAUCUUCUACUGGAAGUCCCCCAAGAUGUCCUUCCGCAAUGAAGGUCAUCUCCAAAAUGGAAUAGAAAUUCAUAUGAAUAACAUGGAUAUCAACUAGAAAGAUUAAUCAGAAAACAUGACCUAAAUCCUUCAAAUGCCAAAAAAAAUAAAAAAUAAAAAUAAAUAAAUAAAAAAUGAAUGUCUAUAUUUCAUGACCGUGUAUCAUCAUACGAAAAUAUGCAACCAGAAUAUAUAAUUCUAAUAGAUUUAUCACUUCCUCCAUAAAUCAACUAUGCAUAAAAAGUACAACAGAUUUUUCUUCAUAAAAAUGUAUUUUUCCUUUUCGUUCGAGGGAAGGGAUAGGAAUAUAACUAGUUGCAACCAAUCAUUGUUAACAUUAGUAAUCAUCAAGCCAGCCAUGCCUCAUUAGCACAAGCAUUACAAAGAAGAAUAUCGCCUCAGAAAGUAUUGUUUGCAGAGUAAAAAAUGGGGUCAUCUCCACAAUCAUUACAAGCCUACGAAGUCAUCAUUGGCAUCCAUUUAUAUCAAAAAAAUCCACUAAGCACCAAAUAGAGAGUUAACCAUCUGCAGCACAGAAUACAGAUGUCACAACUUGGAAAAGCCUAAAUAACCAUAUGAGUUUGGGAAAUGAGCAGGUGAGAUCUUUUAAUUAAUCAAACUUGAAAAUAAGAAGGUUACUUAUUUUGACAAAUGACAAGAGUUAAUCAUACAAUAAGCAAUACUUUUACUUAAAAGAAAAAGUAACUCAUCCAAACUCUAGUUUCCUACGGUCCUCUCUAUACCCUUUCCCGUUCAUUGCUAUAACACAAGGAUUACAAAGAAGAAUAUAGCCUCAGACUGUUGUUUGUAAAGUAAAGCAUGUGAUCAUCACCACAGUCAUUACAAGCCUACGAAAUCAUCAUUGGCAUCCAUUAUUUGUUUCCAAAUGAUGGCUGAGUAACACUACAUAUAAUGACACCGUUACAAGCUUAUGCUCAACAUAAGAAAAGAUAACUUUAGCAGUAAAUAAAAGUUUCUUAGCUGAAAGUACAAACCAAACAAGAAAAUCAAAUUUAAUAUGUUGAAUUGAAUGGACGAGCCUCAGACCGAUAAAAUUUGAUAAAAAAAUUUUGUGUUCAUCUCCACAAUCAUUACAAGCCUACGGAGUCAUCAUCGGCACUCGGGAAAAGCACAAUCACUGGUAAAUUUUUGAUUGCAAUCAAAUGAUGUCUUACACUUAAUUUUCUUAUAAAAAUCUAAGCUAAUUAGCAUAAAUGAAGUAAUUUGGCCAUUGAGAAUGAUCUCAUUUCCAUCUCCAGCCAUGCUUUAAACGAAAGGAAAAUAAGAAAUUAGAAAGAUAUUAGAACUAUCAAAUUUCACGAUUUCUCAUCCAGAAAACGAAUAUUGUUGAGAUGAGAUUUACUUUACUUGAGAAGUGAUUGGCCGAAUAAACCCUAGUUCUGGAUUUUCGAGGAUAUCUGAACGCUUGGCGGUCGAAGGGACUUCAAUUUGUGCUUUUAUCUUGAAUCCCCAGUAGCCGAAUCGAGCCGGCCCACCAUGUUUGAUGCCCAAGUCGGCCUGUGAACAGGCCUGAAUUAUCGGGGCGGACCGGCCCAAUGACACAACAAUCUUUUCUCCUUAGUUGCACUUUUGCCUAUACAUUUCUUCUUUUCUUCAAAGUGGUUUAAAUAAAAGAUAAAUUUAGGGAUUUGAUUCUUG
rnacentral:lncRNA from 1 species